UGUGAGUGGCUUUCNCCUAAGGUGCUAAGU
rnacentral:piRNA from 1 species